AUUAACAGACCCCUUCCCUCAAAAGGAAAACCCUAUCCCCCCAUCUCUCACCUCACUCUCACAUAUAUUCAUUCUCCUCUACUCACACAUACAAAUUCCCCCAGACUCUUCUCACACAGGAUUUUAACAUCACUUUCACUCUCACACACGUAGAACUCACAGUCCAAAUAGCUAAAACAAAAGUUUUUGAAUUGAAAUUGAAGCUCAGAUCUGAAAUAGGAAAAAUAUCAAAAAACAAAGAGAGAAAACAAAAACAAAACAGCGUAAAAGAGGGAUUUCUGUCGCUGUGGAAUUGCAGUUUAUUUGCUCUCAUAUUCUUGGUUCUAACAGGUUAAAAUCCUCGCGAUUUACUGCUGAUUACUGGCCGUGAUUGUUGGCUGAGCUUCGCCCCAUUCCCUUCCUCCACAGUUUUGUUGAAGUCAGUUAUUUUUUCUUUGUCCAUCAAGGUACUGUUUUCUCCAAUGUAGAUAUGCUAUUUUAAAUGAGAUUUAUGUUGACAUUAUUAGUGAUACUUUAUUGUUUAAAGUUCAUGUCAAGCUUUCUCGUGUUUAAACCUUUUUAGAAUUUAGACUCGCAAUGCAAUUUUGCCUAAAACAGUCUAUGACUCUUCUGUGGCUUAUCUAUGAACAUUGAUAUUUGUUUGCUCAAAUUGAUUUCGUUGUUACUGUAGUUGAUUCAUGUGGUUUGAAGUAUAUAGAGUUGACUUUAAAGUGGUCAGAUCUAUUCAUCUCAUAUGCCAAAUUACAGGGUUAGCUGAAUUAUUUUGAUGGAAUUAAACCUCCAUUGCUCAUUUCGUUUUAAAACUAGUAUGCAUUAGAUCAAAAAAUGGAAUUCAGAGCAAGGGACUUCAAAGUUAGUUAUUAUUGAUUGAUACAGUGGUUAUAUAUGUGGCUUAUCUUGUUUUUGGUUAAUACAUGAGAUUUUAUUUUAUAAAGUCAUGGUAGUGUUUCUGCUUAUAUGAAUUAUUAUGUUGUCCUGACAUAUCAUGUUAAAAGUAUGACUGUAAAAUAUGGAAACAAUAGGAAUAGAGUAAAUCUGGAAUAUAGAUUGUUGAGGCAAUAAUCGGGCUACUGAAGUUGUGUAUUUGCAAAUGAACGCUAAGGUCGAGUUAAUUCAGACUGACAUGUGAUAACUAGGGAUUAUGAUGCAUUUUAUACUCCUUACAUGAGUUUUGAUUAGAAAUGUGUACAAAAUAGUCCCAAAGGCUUACAUGUUGUACUUGAUUGCAGGGUUUGGUCAACAAGGUGACAAUUCGUCAAAACCAGCUCAAAAAGGAGUGAAACAUGCACAAGUACCAAGAACAAAUCCAAGCACAGUAUAACCUGAUGCGGUCGCACUCCAUUCUGUGCGGUCCGCAAAGAGGAGGUUCAGAGAUUUCUCAAUUCAGACAUUCAAGCAAUGCGGCCGCAAAGCAUUUCAUGCAGACCGCAUUGGCUUCAUUGCGGCCGCACUCGAUUUUGUGCGGUUCACAAAGCUAGAGUUCAGAGAGUUGCUAAUUUUGAGAAUAUUUCCAAUGCGGUCCGCGGUCCUUUUUGUGCGGACCGCAAUAGAAGCCACCGCGGCCGUGGUGUAUUUUGUGCGGCCCGCGGUGGCCAAGUUCUGAGAAUAAAAGUUUCAAGCUAAGAGCCUUAGUGCGACCGCACUCGAUUUUUUGCGGUUCGCACUAGCCCCGCAGGAGUAUUUUUGUCCAGAAAAUUUGGCAUAGUAUAAAUAGUUUCUUUUCCCAUUUUUAGGUAAUCAGUUGGAUUGUAGACAGCAGCUGCGCUCGUGAACAAUGUUCUAUUACUAUUUUGAGUAAUUUUACAAUAGUUUUAUCAUUGAAUCUUCAAGUUUUAGCUAGUAAUUAAAUAUUAUGGGUUUUUCUUCAUCUAUUUCUUUGUUUUUUCUAUUAUCAUGAGU
rnacentral:lncRNA from 1 species